rnacentral:rRNA from 1 species
AUACGUAGGUGGCAGGGCGUUGUCCGGAUUUACUGGGUGUAAAGGGCGCGUAGGCGGGAGGGCAAGUCAGAUGUGAAAAUCCACGGCUUAACUGUGGAAGUGCAUUUGAAACUGCUCUUCUUGAGUACUGGAGAGGCAGGCGGAAUUCCCAGUGUAGCGGUGAAAUGCAUAGAUAUUGGGAGGAACACCAGUGGCGAAGGCGGCCUGCUGGACAGCAACUGACGCUGAGGCGCGAAAGCGUGGGGAGC